AACGAACGCUGGCGGCAUGCCUAACACAUGCAAGUCGAACGAGACCUUCGGGUCUAGUGGCGCACGGGUGCGUAACGCGUGGGAACCUGCCCUUAGGUUCGGAAUAACUCCCCGAAAGGGGUGCUAAUACCGGAUAAUGUCUUCGGACCAAAGAUUUAUCGCCUUUGGAUGGGCCCGCGUUGGAUUAGCUAGUUGGUAGGGUAAAAGCCUACCAAGGCGACGAUCCAUAGCUGGUCUGAGAGGAUGAUCAGCCACACUGGGACUGAGACACGGCCCAGACUCGUACGGGAGGCAGCAGUGGGGAAUAUUGGACGAUGGGCGAAAGCCUGAUCCAGCAAUGCGGCGUGAGUGAUGAAGGCCUUAGGGUUGUAAAGCUCUUUUACACGGGAUGAUAAUGACAGUACCGGGAGAAUAAGCUCCGGCUAACUCCGUG
rnacentral:rRNA from 1 species